AUUGAACGCUGGCGGCAGGCCUAACACAUGCAAGUCGAACGAGUGGCGGACGGGUGAGUAAUGUCUGGGAAACUGCCUGACGGAGGGGGAUAACUACUGGAAACGGUAGCUAAUAUCGCAUACCAUCGGAUGUGCCCAGAUGGGAUUAGCUAGUAGGUGGGGUAACGGCUCACCUAGGCGACGACCCCUAGCUGGGCUGAGAGGUUGACCAGCCACACUGGAACUGAGACACGGUCCAGACUCCUACGGGAGGCAGCAGUGGGGAAUAUUGCGCAAUGGACGCAAGCCUGAUGCAGCCAUGCCGCGUGUAUGAAGAAGGCCUUCGGAUAGUAAAAAGCUUUCGGCAGGGAGGCGUUACGCGCAGAAAAAGCGCCGGCUAACUCCGUGCCAGCCGCCGCGGUAAUAC
rnacentral:rRNA from 1 species